AUUGAACGCUAGCGGGAUGCUUUACACAUGCAAGUCGAACGAGUGGCGGACGGGUGAGUAAUAUAUCGGAACGUGCCCAGUAGCGGGGGAUAACUACUCGAAAGAGCGGCUACUACCGUAUACAAUUGGCUCGGCCGAUAUCGGUUUAGCUAGUUGGUGGGGUAAAGGCUCACCAAGGCAACGAUCCGUAGCUGGUUUGAGAGGACGACCAGCCACACUGGGACUGAGAAACAGCCCAGACUCCGACGGGAGGCAGCAGUGGGGAAUUUUGGACAAUGGGGGAAACCCUGAUCCAGCCAUGCCGCGUGUAUGAGAAGGCCUUCGGGUUGUAAAGUACUUUUGGCAGGUAGGCGGUAUCUGCAGAAUAAGCACCGGCUAACUACGUGCCAGCAGCCGCGGUAAUUC
rnacentral:rRNA from 1 species